rnacentral:tmRNA from 1 species
CCCCUGGAUUUCCGCGCGGCAGCGGCCUAUAUCGGGAGCGUCAUCCUCGGAUGACUAUGGUGAUAAACGGCAUGUGGAAUAAGCGUUGCGGACCCGGGGGCAGUGCCCGGCGUCUCCACCAGCAACUACCGGCCCUGGAUCGUGGGGCGGCGCUUGCGGGGACGAAACAGGCUCGACGCGCGUGGUAAAGCCAUGUCUUUUGCCCGGCAUUGUACCGCCGUCAUCGGGCUAUAUCACAAGUGCCAACGAUAACGGUCGCGAGACCGUGGCGCUCGCUGCCUAACAAUAGGUAAGCGCGGUCCGGGGGGAACCGGGCAACAGAAUCCCCCCACU